rnacentral:rRNA from 1 species
UACGUAGGGGGCUAGCGUUGCUCGGAUUGACUGGGCGUAAAGGGCGCGUAGGCGGCUUGGCAAGUGGAAGGUGAAAUCCCUCGGCUUAACCGAGGAACUGCCCUCCAAACUGCUUCGCUUGAGACCGGGAGAGGUGAGUGGAAUUCCCAGUGUAGCGGUGAAAUGCGUAGAUAUUGGGAGGAACACCAGUGGCGAAGGCGGCUCACUGGACCGGUACUGACGCUGAUGCGCGAAAGCGUGGGGAGCAAACGGG